GGCUUAGCUCAGUUGGUAGAGCACCUGAUUUGUAAUCAGGGGGUCGGGGGUUCGAAUCCUCCAGCCG
rnacentral:tRNA from 1 species